UAUAAAGAAAUGUUUCUCUCCUUUUCAGCCUGCCACGUCAUUAAGUAGUGGAAGGAGAGAGCGACACGUGUCCACCUUCUCUGAGUUUCGUUGCUUUUUGUGUAGCUUCAUUUUGGGCUUUACGGGUUUAAUUGUAGUGGCUCCCGACAUUCAUUAAGUGCCCAAUUGAAAUUAAUAGCCACGCUCUUCGUCUUCAAGGAAUUGCGACUCCAUUUCUAGGGUUUAUUUUGUUCUUCAGCCUCUGAUUUUAUCGUCCUUCUUCUUCGAUCUCUAACAAUGGAGUUCCAGGAUGGUGUGAUAGUCGAAUCGUCAUUAGAAAUCUUUGGGUCGAGCUUUGUUGGCGUCGUUUCGUGUUAGGUUCUUCUCUCUCAAACAUAACGGGAUCCAUUAAGGUCGCCAUUAACAGCCAUCUUUACUCCUUCAACCCACAGAUCAAUCGUUCAAUGCAUAUUAUCUCUCUGGAGGCGGUGGAUAUACACCUAUAAAAGGAGCCUCUGCUAACUGGAUCGUUCCUCUGUGCCCAUCAUAUUGGUAAUGCCUGAUUGAUCAGGCAAUAAGCUUUAUAAUCAAGUACGAAGCCAUGGAUAAAGAUUACUAGGGAGAUCAAGCGUUGAUCAUAGGUGGAGCAAUAGAGUUUGUGAGAGAGCUGGAGCACCUUCUACAAUGCCUAGAGUUAAUAAAAGCGUCGGAGAAUCCUUGGAGAAACCGUUAAUAGGCAAAUUAGAGACAUGACCACGACAAUGUCUUCUUCUUCACUAAUAACUUCAGUUGCUUACCCGGUAAUUAUUUCUGGAAAUGUAACUGAACAGAGGGUGGCGGAGGAGGCCUCGGUAGGAAACAGCACAAAAGCCCGUGCUUGCCUGAUGUGGAGGUGAAGCUGCUAAGGUUUGAUGCCAUGAUCAAGAUACUUUCAAGAAGAAGACCAGACAACUGAUACUAUUGCUGUUUUGGAGGAUCUUUAUCUCUCUAUUCUUCACACAAACUUCACUACCAUGGAACAAACCGUCAUGUACUUUAAUGGCAAGGCAAAUUUCACCUUCGUAAAUUAUAAUCAUACGCAUUUAUAUGUAUAGUACAUCCUACAUAUAAAGUUUCUUACCAUAUGAUUGGAUUGCUUUAAUUAAAAUAUGCAUAUUAUAGUAAGCUACAAGGAAAAGUGGACGUUGAAGGUUUCCUCCCAGCACAAACUGCCAUAGACGCAAUUAAGGACUCCAUGGAUCUUUACGCAGCUUACAUCAAAGCUGUCUUGCAACGUUAAUGAACAUACCAGUCAAAUCCGUUCCUCCAGGUUUGCUUUCAUACCUUCUCAGGUUCUCUGGAGAACAUCCUAUUCAAGGUCUUAUGUUGAAAUCCGUAUGAAUUUUAGUCAACACGGAUCUGUGCGGAUCGUUGUCAAUCAAGAUAAGAAAACUCUGAAUUUGUUUUUUUCUUCCUUUCUUGCGAGUGAAUGAAUUAUGUUUUGGUUUUCCUUGGCACAGUGUAAGGAAGUUUGUGUAGUAUGUACAUGAUGAUGACAUCACCAAGUCCCAUAUUCUCAAUUUGCUUUUUAAUAUACCAUAUAGACACUUUCUUAGCAACUCUGUUGACUCUCUGAACGUUCUAAACAUGUAACCACAAACAAUAGAAACAAUAGAUAAAACAUGCAGCCAUUCAAACAAUCAGAGCAGUAGAUAGUUAGUUAAAUUUGUUGGCCAUAGCAUCCUAAACGCGAUGAUAAUGUAUAUAGAAAAUCAUUUGACAUAGGUUUCAUACAAAACAAUUUAACCAAUUUUUUAAACCUACCAAAAAAGUCAAUCAACAAACAACAGUACAAGAUCCCGUAACAAUUUAACCAAUUUUUUAAGCUCUCUCCACAUUAACUAUUUCGUGAUGAAAAGGUAACUGCUGAAAAUCGGACUACGACACACUAUUAAUUCCCACGGUUUUUUUUUUCAGAAACACCACAGCUAAUAAUGGUCCAUAAGUUACAUUCGGAUAUUAUUCAAAGCCUCUCAUCUCAUCUGCACAUCUUUUCCCGUUAAAUUUCACAAAUUAUAUAUCAAUUCUUUCAUUUCAGUAACUUUGAGAAAAUACAAAUUGGGCUUUUGAUUUUUUUUCCUUAGAUUCUUUCGAGCUUUUAUGAGUCCUAGAUCGUUGGACAUAUAUAUCAUCAAAAGUAAUAGAGAAGACAUAGGUUUUGUUAAGAAGACUUUUUAUUUGUCAAGGAGACUUACUUUUUUUUUGGUCAAGGAGACUUACUAAACAAAAAAAAAAGAUGGAGAGAGGGAGAGACUAUUAUUUAAUAUGGAGUUAUUUUUAAAAAUGUAUAUUUAGCUUUGUAAUCGUGCUUGAUGUGAUAAUUAAGUCGAGGACUAUUCAGGUUUCCAUACUUAAAUACGAAAUUUGAAGGAUAGACAGAUAAUUUUUUAGAACAAAAAAAACUAAGUACAAUAUUUUGAAGUAAUUCUCAUGAAAUUUGCUUAUUUUUUGUCAAUAAACUCAAGUUAAAGAAAUUAACAAAAAAAGAAAAAUGGAAACCAUAACCAAUGAUUAAUGAACAAUCAAAACAAGUAUUUUUUUUUACAAAAAAUAGUUUAAAAUUAGAGUUUAGAAAAUAUAACAUCAAAAAAUGAAAAAAAUAUUGAAAAUACACCAUAUAAUUACGAAAAAUAAGCCAACAAACAAUAAUUUAGUGAGAAUGCAUAAUCUAAUUUAUAAUAUAUAUAAACUUCCAAAAUAUCUAAAUAAAUCAUAACAACAAAAGGAAAGGAAAUACAUUUUUGAUAUUAUUUCUCAUGUUUCAUCAAACUCAGACCAGCGGAAAAAUAUCUAUUCUCGCAAAUAUUUUUUUCUUUUGUGCGUACCAAACUAGAACCUUACAAAAUUAAUAUGAAAAUAGAUGGAAAAGAACAAGAAGUGAUUAUACAUAAUCAAAAUAUUUUAUUUUUAAACAAUAAAAUUAUCUAAUAAAUUAAAAAUAAAAAUACCAUCCAUAGUACUAUCACCAAGUAUCGAUACAUUUAAAAAGAAAAAGAAAAAUGA